AUUGAACGCUGGCGGCAGGCCUAACACAUGCAAGUCGAGCGGAUGAAGCGAGCUUGCUCCUGGAUUCAGCGGCGGACGGGUGAGUUAUGCUUUGGAAUCUGCCUGGUAGUGGGGGAUAACGUCCGGAAACGGGCGCUAAUACCGCAUACGUCCUGAGGGAGAACGUGGGGGAUCUUCGGACCUCACGCUAUCAGAUGAGCCUAGGUCGGAUUAGCUAGUUGGUGGGGUAAAGGCCUACCAAGGCGACGAUCCGUAACUGGUCGGAGAGGAUGAUCAGUCACACUGGAAGUGAGACAGGGUCCAGACUCCUACGGGAGGCAGCAGUGGGGAAUAUUGGACAAUGGGCGAAAGCCUGAUCCAGCCAGGCCGCGUGUGUGAAGAAGGUCUUCGGAGUGUAAAGCCCUUUAAGUGGGGAGGAAGGGCAGUAAGUUAAUACCUUGCGGUUUUGACGGUACCAACAGAAUAAGCACCGGCUAACUUCGUG
rnacentral:rRNA from 1 species